rnacentral:rRNA from 1 species
UACGGGAGGCAGCAGUGGGGAAUAUUGGACAAUGGGCGAAAGCCUGAUCCAGCAAUGCCGCGUGAGUGAUGAAGGCCUUAGGGUUGUAAAGCUCUUUUACCAGGGAUGAUAAUGACAGUACCUGGAGAAUAAGCUCCGGCUAACUCCGUGCCAGCAGCCGCGGUAAUACGGAGGGAGCUAGCGUUGUUCGGAAUUACUGGGCGUAAAGAGUACGUAGGCGGUGAUUCAAGUCAGAGGUGAAAGCCUGGAGCUCAACUCCAGAACUGCCUUUGAAACUAGAUCGCUAGAAUUAUGGAGAGGUUAGUGGAAUUCCGAGUGUAGAGGUGAAAUUCGUAGAUAUUCGGAAGAACACCAGUGGCGAAGGCGACUAACUGGACAUAUAUUGACGCUGAGGUACGAAAGCGUGGGGAGCAAACAGGAUUAGAUACCCUGGUAGUCCACGCCGUAAACGAUGAUAACUAGCUGUUCGGGGUCUACGAUCCUGAGUGGCGCAGCUAACGCAUUAAGUAU